rnacentral:rRNA from 1 species
GGAAGUUAGACGGGGCCCGGCCACAAGCGGUGGAGUAUGUGGUUUAAUUCGAUGCAACGCGAAGAACCUUACCUGGUCUUGACAUCCCGGAGACCCUUAGGAAACUAGGGGGUGCUUCCAUCUGGAAGAAUCUGGAGACAGGUGCUGCAUGGCUGUCGUCAGCUCGUGUCGUGAGAUGUUGGGUUAAGUCCCGCAACGAGCGCAACCCUUGCCUUUAGUUGCCAGCAGUUCGGCUGGGCACUCUAAAGGGACUGCCGGUGUUAAACCGGAGGAAGGUGGGGAUGACGUCAAGUCCUCAUGGCCUUUAUGACCAGGGCUACACACGUACUACAAUGGCCGAUACAAGGGGCAGCGACACUGCGAGGUGAAGCCAAUCCCGUAAAAUCGGUCUCAGUCCGGAUUGGAGUCUGCAACUCGACUCCAUGAAGUUGGAAUCGCUAGUAAUCGUGGAUCAGCAUGCCACGGUGAAUACGUUCCCGGGCCUU